UCUAGCAGACCAUAUAUUAUCCAA
rnacentral:siRNA from 1 species